AUGGUCCCUCGGGUGGGUUUGGUGGUCUCCCCUCGCUGUUUUUUCCUUGUAGACUGCAGGGAGGGUUUGUAAUGUGAGCGAGGCAGCGCACUGGCUUUGUGUUUUUAAACGAAGAGGCAAAUGUUUCUCGUACUCGUGGGCUGGGAGGAGGAAGGAGGUUUUUUAUAGCACUGCCUACUACACGGGGGUUUUCUCUCAUCUGAUGCCUUAUUUAGUUUCCUCAGUGCUUACUACGCGUACUAUACUUAUACCCAGAAUAUGCAAAGUGCUUUUCAAGCGGAGUUGGUAUCAAAGAAAAGAGGUCCAAAGACUCAAUGAGAAGCUUCAGGCAGAGCUCAAGGGCAGCGUUUACACCCUGAUGGUCAGCAGAAUUUAUUAUACCAGCAUAGGAGCACACAGACUUCUUUAUCCACAUCUUAUUUCUCCUCACCUCCCCUUCUGUAAGCUAAGAAAAACCCAAUCUAAACACAGACCUUUCCUAGUGUAAAUGCUGGUGUUCUAUAAUGUAUACAUCUGUCAUGAAGAAUAACCUGCCUUCUGCAGUGCAGCUUGUAUAUAAUUGCUUUCAGCAGCAGGUAGAGAUGUAUUUAACAUGUUUCUCAUAGCGAUAUAAAACCUUCAAAGCAAAAUUGGUUUUAGUGAUGGCAAUGAUAAAAUACUUAGAUUGUCAAAACAUCGUGAAAAUCACUGUGGAUUUUUUUUAUGCAGACCUGUCUAUUUUAUUUUUUUUUUCAGAGCUAGGUUAGCUUCUCCAGAUUUUGACUUUAACGAUUGAGGUCUGGAGGAGUAACAAAAUGAUUUAAAAGCACAAAACUGGUUGUAAAAAAUGAGGAGGAUUCUAGCCUUCUCGACGCACUUCAGAAGGUUCAGCUUAUAUAGUAAGGAAGUUUGUAGGGCUCUGAUCUAUCUUUUGUUAUCGUGGUUAACCAUUUUAAGAUUAAAAGUUCUUAAUGGAAAAAUAAUUCAAAGUUUGGUAUUACAGUAGUUCAGAGAUUAAAGAAAUAACUAUUAAAUAUACCAUUUGCAACAAUAUGAAAACCCAAGCAAUUUUUAUAAUACUGAAUUACAGUUGGCUAUAAAUAAAUAAUUUAAAAUAUUGAUGGUUUUUCCUUUU
rnacentral:lncRNA from 1 species